rnacentral:rRNA from 1 species
AUUGAACGCUGGCUGCAGGCUUAACACAUGCAAGUCGAGCGGAGAUGAGGUGCUUGCACCUUAUCUUAGCGGCGGACGGGUGAGUAAUGCUUAGGAAUCUGCCUAUUAGUGGGGGACAACAUUCCGAAAGGAAUGCUAAUACCGCAUACGUCCUACGGGAGAAAGCAGGGGAUCUUCGGACCUUGCGCUACUAGAUGAGCCUAAGUCGGAUUAGCUAGUUGGCGGGGUAAAGGCCUACCAAGGCGACGAUCUGUAGCGGGUCUGAGAGGAUGAGCCCCCACGCUGGGACUGAGACACGGCCCAGACACCUACGGGAGGCAGCAGGGGGGGAUAAUGGACAAUGGGGGGAACCCUGAUCCAGCCAUGCCGCGUGUCGGAAGAAAGCCAUACGGUUGUAAAGCACGUUAAGCGAGGAGGAGGCUACUGAGACUAAUACUCUUGGUUAUUGGACGUUACUGGCAGAAUAAACACCGGCUAACUCUGUGCCAGCCGCCGCCGUAACAC